AAAAAACUUACAUGUUUACAACAUCUAAGAAAUUUAGAAAAAUUCAGCAAUACAUACAGCAAACUCCAUAUUGAUUUAUCGAGUAUACUUUGAAAUAAAAUGGACCUAUUUACCAGUGUGGGUUUAACUGACUACAAAAUUGGUAAUUUAGGAGAAGUCACUUAACUUCUUUGAAUAUAAAUUGUUUAUAUAAUGAGAAAAAUAAUACCCUGAAUAGUUUUAAUGUUUAGUGUCUUUAAACUAAUCCCUAACAUACCGUAAGAGCCUAAGUUUACUUGUAAUAAGACCAUUCAUGUUAAUUAUAAAGUUUUGCCAAAUUUGGAUGUAGCCCUGCCUGUGACUUAUUAAUGCCAUGGCAUAAUUUAGAUGUGAGGGUAUAGAUAAAUAAAAAUAAGGCAUUUUCUAUUCUCUGUUGACUUAAUUCUCAUUAUGCAAAUGCAUUUGUUAAAAUACUGUUUCUUGAUUUUUGAUCAAUAACAAAGAGGAGAAAAAGAUAAUUAAGAGACCCUUUUCUUUAGGCUGGAUAUUAUCUGCCUUGGUACUUAUUGUGGAAAACAAAUGAAUCCUCUUAGGUAUUCCUAAAACACAUUACAAAUACAUAUUUAUCCAAAUGUUUCUAUACAUAUUGUAUACCCAGAUAUAGUUCUUGUUCUCUUAUUGGAACAAUGAUAAUAACCUUGUAUUAAUAAUAACUCUAUAUUUCUUCUGGACCACUUUCCAACUUGAGGAACAUUGAAUAACUUCAGUAAAUAUUAUUAUCUAACUUGAGUAAAUGUUUCAAGAUAUGAAUUAUAACACUUUCCAAUGAAAACACUGUAAAAUGAAAUCCAAGUUUCUUAUGAUAGCCAUUGUGGUUUCAAGCUUUCAAGAUGGCCCAGAAAUGAUCCCUGAUUCUUGAUAUUUUAUCCUUCUGUGGAUCCUUCUAUGUUGUGCCAUGUUUGGUUUGUCUGGCCAAGAGCAUACAUCAGAAAUGAUGGUACAUUGCUUCAAAAAGUUCUUUCACUUUGAAGAAGGUGACCUACUAAGUUAUGAGCAGAACUGUGCAGAGGCUCACAUGGAAGCAAGUAAAGUCUUGGCCCAAUAACCAGUAAGGAGCUGAGGCUGCCAUUACCCUUAUUUGUGAGCUUAGAAUACACCCAUCUGUUGAUUCUUGAGAUGACUGCAAAUUUCGUUUGGUAUUUGAGCCAGAACCACCCUGCUAGACAUUUCUAGAUUCUGACUCAGAGAAAGUACAUGAGAUGGUUAGUUAUAAAAUGUUAUGUUUGGGGACAAUUUGAUAUACAAUUCUUCUUCUUGGGUCCUGAGUGGUAACUUGCUUGCAACAAAUAAUAAUUUUCCCCCUGGAUAUCUCUAAACACCCUCUGUCUUUUAUUUUACAUGUUACCCUCUUUUCUCCAGAGAAAGUCAAAUAAUCUAAUUUUGCCACAUUCAUGUAAAAUAUAAUAUCAUGUUAAAAUUUAUCACCUAAAAGAACAGGGACCAGAUCAUCACAUUCUUCACUGUAUCUCCUAUAUUUACUCAGGGUAUGACCAAAAAAAAAAAAAAAAAAGACCGCCUAAAUAAAAAUGUGUUGACUACAUGAAAAUUUGAAUAAUUUUUUGGAAAAUAAAACCAAACAUAUAGCUCACUUUAGGUAUUAACUCUAGUGAUGGAGGCCACGCAUUUUUACUGUGAGCAUUAUGUACAA
rnacentral:lncRNA from 1 species